rnacentral:rRNA from 1 species
CUACGUGCCAGCAGCCGCGGUAAUACGGAGGGUGCGAGCGUUAAUCGGAAUAACUGGGCGUAAAGGGCACGCAGGCGGUUAUUUAAGUGAGGUGUGAAAGCCCCGGGCUUAACCUGGGAAUUGCAUUUCAGACUGGGUAACUAGAGUACUUUAGGGAGGGGUAGAAUUCCACGUGUAGCGGUGAAAUGCGUAGAGAUGUGGAGGAAUACCGAAGGCGAAGGCAGCCCCUUGGGAAUGUACUGACGCUCAUGUGCGAAAGCGUGGGGAGCAAACAGGAUUAGAUACCCUGGUAGUCCACGCUGUAAACGCUGUCGAUUUGGGGAUUGGGCUUAAAGCUUGGUGCCCGUAGCUAACGUGAUAAAUCGACCGCCUGGGGAGUACGGCCGCAAGGUUAAAACUCAAAUGAAUUGACGGGGGCCCGCACAAGCGGUGGAGCAUGUGGUUUAAUUCGAUGCAACGCGAAGAACCUUACCUACUCUUGACAUCCAUGGAAUCUUAUAGAGAUAKAGAGUGC